AUGAUGAACGGGAGCGGAGCGGAGAGCGCGAGCAGGGCUGCGGCCGAGCGAGAUUUUGUUGUGGAUGGAGAGAGAAAUGAAUGUGGAUCUACUGGUUACAUGACAGAUUGUCUAAAUGAAGACACUGAAAAAGUUCCUCUUCAAACGCACCCGCUGAGAGAAUUUGAGCAGGUGAGAUUUUCUGUCUUUGUCUGCAGCAGUUAUAUAAUACGAUGUAUAAUUAGAUUUGCAUCGGUGGUCUGAAACAUACUUAUCCGUUUCAGAAGCAGUGAGACACACACAUCCACAGUACAGAGAAUGUGAAGAUCUGCAUGUUGAGUAAUGUGCUGCUCUCUAGCGCCACCCAGUGCUGUUGGCUGUAUCGCUCGUGUUAGUGAACGUGUUUCAGAGAGUGUGUUGUUCCCGUCAGUUCUCUUCAUUUCAUGUUCAUCCUGCCUCUGUCAUUGUGCUCGCUGAAACAUAGAUGAAUUCAUUUUUAGAAUAUCACACACAGAACAUUUAUCAGCUAGUCCAAUAGAGGUUGCUCCGCCAUUUUUUAUUUCUUAACUUCUGAGUGAUUAUAACCUGCAUUUACUGGUGUUGCAAAACCAGUUUUAUAUCUUUAUUUUGCUUUGCUUAACCACAGUGACUCAAAAGGUUCAGUUUCAGCUUUGUUUGCUUGUAGCAUCAGUGUAAAGCGUUUUAAACCUGUGCGAAGCUGAUGCGGCUGCGUUUAGACAGCUGCUCAUAUUCACAUGUGAGCCAUAAACAGAAAAGUGCUGUUUAAUGUGUGCAUCGAUGUCUUAAGCUGAAUGGGGGACAUCUCAAAAUAGUCUCCGGCUGCUGGCUGUCGCACCAUUUGACAAUAUUACACCAGAACGAUGCUGCCGUCUCCGAGAAAUACUGUGUCACUCUUUGCUCUCUGCUGAUGGAUUCUGAGUUCAUUCUUUAGGAAAACACGUUGGAUACUCCAGACAACAUCGAAUGAUGAAUGUAAGGCAGAAAAUCUGUCUCAUGACCUUAAAAAUCUUCUGAUUGAUAAAAUGCUUGAAAUUGUGCCUACGUAUGUACAUGACCAGUCAAACGUUUGGAAUAAUUAAGAUUUUAAUGUUUUGUUUUUUAAUUCAAAGACUAGACAAAAGUGUGUUCAACAUUGAUAAUAAUCAGAAAUGUUUCUUGAGCAGCAAAUCAUCAUAUUAGAAUGAUUUCUGAAGAUCAUGUGACACUGAAGACUGGAGUAAUGAUACUGAAAAUACAGCUGCGCAUCACAGAAAUAAAUUACACUUUAACAGAGAUUCACAUAGAAAACUGUUUUAAAUUAUGAUAUUUCACUCUUUUUACUCAAAUCAUUUUUGAUCAACUAAAUGAGCCUUAUAUCACAGUAUAAGUGAUUUCAAUUAUCAUCAUUAGUACAGGCAAAAGAUUCAAGCUCAGAUAUAAGAAAGUUUUCAUUUGUGCCUCAUAUUUUGAUCAUUCCCAGACUUACAUUAGUGUGUUCCUGAGUCUUCAUCAUCAUCAUCAGUAUUAUUCUGCCAGGAACGACAGCAGGUGCGUCUGACUGCUUCAUGUAUUUCUAGACGUUGUUCUGCAGGCCGUGAAACACACAGUGACUGCAGCAGGUUCAGAGUGAGUUACGUAACACGGUCAGACCAGCGCUCACAGAGACUCAUAAUGCCUGAUUCCAGUCUGGGAUAAACACAUGUAAGCUGCUGCUGGGACGCUUCCUCCUCCUGAGUUAUUAUUAGUCAUAGUCAGUUUAAGAGCGUCA
ensembl:lncRNA